UGUUCUGAGUGUGCCAUGAUGUGAGU
rnacentral:piRNA from 2 species